CUCAGGAGAAGGAACUCGGCAAAUUGAUACCGUAACUUCGGGAGAAGGUAUGCCCCGUUAGCUUGUAGGAGAACAUCCGAAGGGCGAAGGGGCCGCAGAGAAUCGGUGGCUGCGACUGUUUAUUAAAAACACAGCACUCUGCAAACACGAAAGUGGACGUAUAGGGUGUGACGCCUGCCCGGUGCCGGAAGGUUAAGUGAUGGGGUGCAAGCUCUUGAUCGAAGCCCCGGUAAACGGCGGCCGUAACUAUAACGGUCCUAAGGUAGCGAAAUUCCUUGUCGGGUAAGUUCCGACCUGCACGAAUGGCGUAACGAUGGCCACACUGUCUCCUCCUGAGACUCAGCGAAGUUGAAGUGUUUGUGAAGAUGCAAUCUCCCCGCGGCUAGACGGAAAGACCCCAUGAACCUUUACUGUAGCUUUGCAUUGGACUUUGACGGGACUUGUGUAGGAUAGGUGGGAGGCGAUGAAACCGGGACGCUAGUUCCGGUGGAGCCAUCCUUGAAAUACCACCCUGGUGUCGUUGAGGUUCUAACCUAGGUCCGUAAUCCGGAUCGGGGACCGUGCAUGGUGGGCAGUUUGACUGGGGCGGUCUCCUCCCAAAAGGUAACGGAGGAGUACGAAGGUCUUCUAGGUACGGUCGGACAUCGUACUGAUAGUGCAAUGGCAAAAGAAGGCUUGACUGCGAGACCGACAAGUCGAGCAGGUGCGAAAGCAGGUCAUAGUGAUCCGGUGGUUCUGUAUGGAAGGGCCAUCGCUCAACGGAUAAAAGGUACUCUGGGGAUAACAGGCUGAUUCCGCCCAAGAGUUCACAUCGACGGCGGAGUUUGGCACCUCGAUGUCGGCUCAUCACAUCCUGGGGCUGUAGCCGGUCCCAAGGGUAUGGCUGUUCGCCAUUUAAAGUGGUACGUGAGCUGGGUUUAAAACGUCGUGAGACAGUUUGGUCCCUAUCUGCCGUGGGCGCUGGAUAUUUGAGGGGGCCUGCUCCUAGUACGAGAGGACCGGAGUGGACGAAUCUCUGGUGUACCGGUUGUGACGCCAGUCGCAUCGCCGGGUAGCUAAAUUCGGAAGAGAUAACCGCUGAAAGCAUCUAAGCGGGAAACUCGCCUCAAGAUGAGAUAUCCCUGGGAACUUGAUUCCCCUAAAGGGUCGUUGAAGACCACGACGUUGAUAGGCUGGGUGUGGAAGCGCAGUAAUGCGUUAAGCUAACCAGUACUAAUUGCCCGUGAGGCUUGAUCCU
rnacentral:rRNA from 1 species